rnacentral:misc_RNA from 1 species
AUGAAGAACGCAGCGAAAUGCGAUAAGUAAUGUGAAUUGCAGAAUUCAGUGAAUCAUCGAAUCUUUGAACGCACAUUGCGCCCGCCAGUAUUCUGGCGGGCAUGCCUGUUCGAGCGUCAUUUCAACCAUCAAGCCCCCGGCUUGUGUUGGGGACCUGCGGCUGCCGCAGGCCCUGAAAACCAGUGGCGGGCUCGCUAGUCACUCCGAGCGUAGUAGUUACAUCUCGCUCAGGGCGUGCUGCGGGUUCCGGCCGUUAAAAGCCUUAUUUACCCAAGGUUGACCUCGGAUCAGGUAGGAAGACCCGCUGAACUUAAGCAUAUCAAUAAGCGGAGGA